GCCUAGCCCUAAACAAAGGUGUUGGUUUUACACCUAUCCCUUGCCGGGGGACUACGAGCCCCAGCUUAAAACCCAAAGGACUUGGCGGUGCUUUAUACCCACCUAGAGGAGCCUGUUCUAGAACCGAUAACCCCCGUUAAACCUCACCCUCUCUUGUUUUCCCCGCCUAUAUACCGCCGUCGUCAGCUUACCCCUUGAGGGGAACACAGUAGGCAAAAAUGGUAGAACCUAAAACGCCAGGUCGAGGUGUAGCGUACGAGAGGGGAAGAAAUGGGCUACAUUCACUGACACAGUGAACUACGGACGAUACCUUGAAAAAAUAUCCAAAGGAGGAUUUAGCAGUAAGGGGGAAAUAGAGUGUCCCCCUGAAACUGGCCAUGAAGCGCGC
rnacentral:rRNA from 1 species